rnacentral:rRNA from 1 species
GUAGCGGUGAAAUGCGUAGAGAUCUGAAGGAAUACCGGUGGCGAAGGCGGCCCCCUGGACAGAUACUGACACUCAGAUGCGAAAGCGUGGGGAGCAAACAGGAUUAGAUACCCUGGUAGUCCACGCCGUAAACGAUGUCUACUUGGAGGUUGUGGCCUUGAGCCGUGGCUUUCGGAGCUAACGCGUUAAGUAGACCGCCUGGGGAGUACGGUCGCAAGAUUAAAACUCAAAUGAAUUGACGGGGGCCCGCACAAGCGGUGGAGCAUGUGGUUUAAUUCGAUGCAACGCGAAGAACCUUACCUACUCUUGACAUCCAGAGAACUUUCCAGAGAUGGAUUGGUGCCUUCGGGAACUCUG